GUGCCAGCAGCCGCGGUAAUACAGAGGGUGCUAGCGUUGUUCGGAAUUAUUGGGCGUAAAGCGCGUGUAGGCGGCUGGCCAAGUCGGAUGUGAAAGCCCUCGGCUUAACCGAGGAAGUGCGUUCGAUACUAGCUAGCUCGAGUACCGGAGAGGGUGGCGGAAUUCCCGGUGUAGAGGUGAAAUUCGUAGAUAUCGGGAGGAACACCAGCGGCGAAGGCGGCCACCUGGACGGAUACUGACGCUGAGACGCGAAAGCGUGGGGAGCAAACAGGAUUAGAUACCCUUGUAGUCC
rnacentral:rRNA from 1 species